ensembl:misc_RNA Y_RNA Y RNA
GGCUAGUCUGAAGGUAGUGAGUUACCUCAAUUGACUGUUCAGUUAGUUGCAGAUCGAACUCCUUGUUCUACUCUUUCCCCUCUUUCCACUACUGCAUGUGACUAGUCUAAA